rnacentral:rRNA from 1 species
UACGUAGGUCCCGAGCGUUGUCCGGAUUUAUUGGGCGUAAAGCGAGCGCAGGUGGUUUAUUAAGUCUGGUGUAAAAGGCAGUGGCUCAACCAUUGUAUGCAUUGGAAACUGGUAGACUUGAGUGCAGGAGAGGAGAGUGGAAUUCCAUGUGUAGCGGUGAAAUGCGUAGAUAUAUGGAGGAACACCGGUGGCGAAAGCGGCUCUCUGGCCUGUAACUGACACUGAGGCUCGAAAACGUGGGUAGCAAACAGG